AGCUGAGUUGGAUGCAAAAUGUGGGUUCCUGUGUUGCAUACCUAAUGCGACGGAAAUGUGUGCCUUCGGUAGUCCCUUCCAUCACGGCGUCCUCUCGGAUGCUCGGUUGGACCGAAUAGCGGGGCUUGUGUUCCACGAGUACCAUCUCAUUUGAUCGUGCUCGGAUGGAUCACGAGCGCCCGCUCGUUCUCUCGGAUGCGGAACUUUCUUCAUGGGUAUGGGGUCAUCGGCCCUUCUUCCCAAUCGUAAAGCGUUUUAUCGCUUCAUCGGAAUGACGCUCUCGCCUUGUCUUUGAUCGAAACGAAGCUCUCGGGCACG
rnacentral:misc_RNA from 1 species